UUUGAGCAGUCGCGGUUUGACCUGUAAAAAGGUCAGGCUGAGGAAAGUCCACGCACGCACGAGCUGCGAUGCUUGUAGUGUUCGUAUUUAGCCAAAUAAGCUAAAGAAUUUUUAAUUACGGCGAAAAAAGUGCUAAAUCAUACGUAAAUGACAUGCAUGAAUAUUCUGAAAAGUGCCACAGUGACGUAGCAGAGGUGGAAACGCUUCUGGUGGAACGAGGUAAACCCUGCGAGCGUGCAACCCAAACUUGGUGGGGGCGUUUCAAUCUAUGAAAAUGAACUAAAGAUUGGAGUUGCUAGUUAUAGCAAAGAUAGAUGGCUGCUAAGGGUAUUUAUGCCACAAAUACCUUAACAGAACGUGGCUUAUAG
rnacentral:RNase_P_RNA from 1 species